rnacentral:lncRNA from 1 species
CAGCAAUCUGACACAGCAGCUCUUUGGGGAAUUAAGGCACAAUUCACAAUUGGGGUGAUGGGUUUGUCACGUGGUGCUGAUGCAGUUGUUGCCCUGAAGAGUAAAGCUUGGGUUUCUUUUUCUGCAGAUGCAGUUUCCACAUCGAUGCAAUGGAUGCUGCUGAGGAGGAACCACCUCAGUUUGGUCUUUGUAAACUGCUGCUGCUCAGCCUGCAUGGACAGUUCUGGCAGUGCACUUGAAUAAGGCUGCAAAGCUCGGAGAAUAAAUCCCAGCAGAGCCGCAGUACAGCCGCUGUUCAGGAGGAGAUCCGGGAUGUUAAAGAAGCAUAAAUACAUAUUCAAAUACACGUUUAAAAGGAUGGCACCCUCGUGUUUAUCAGGGGAAAGGACACUUGGAGCACCUGUACCGAAAGGGAGAAGGUGAAGAAGCCUGUGAGCAUUCCCUGCCUCCUCUGAUCUUAUGCAGAUUCUAAACACAAGUCUGAACGCAAGCUCGAUGGCAACUCUCUGCUCCGGCUGCCAGGGCUGCAGCUCCAGCCGCUCCUCUCCGUCCUCCACCUUCUUUUUCCAAAGUAACAAAGCCAUUGGAUUUCCUCCCACCCCUUCCCUGCGCCUCCCCUCCCCCUCGCUGGCACCGGGGUUAUUUAUACAGAAUGUGGAAACAAUUUGCAGGAAAGUGAACAAUGUAAGCGGGAGCGAGGGAAGGGAGGCGAGUUUGCAGAGCACGCUGAGAGCCCCAGCGGUGGAACGCUGCUUUUGGGGGAGCACGGGGAGCAGGAUGUUUUCCUUUCUUCCUUCUCCCCUCUCCCACCAUCUCCCUGAGCUCCUUCCAUCCUGCUGGAGUCGAGGCCAAACCAGAGCAACGAGAUCUGAGUGA